GUUGCCGGCGGAACACGAGCUGUGUGUAUUGGCUCGCGCUCCGGAGUGGAGGUAGCCGUCAUGGCUGCUCACAGUACCAACUUUAUCCGCGUGCGCUUACACUUUGACUACCCGCCGCCGGCUGUGGCGGACUGCCGCAUGUGCUGGCUGCUCGUGGACCUGAACAGGUGCCGCGUGGUGGGGGACCUGGAGAGCGUCAUCAGAGACAAGUUUGCGUUCAGCCGCAGGAGCAUCCUCCAGCUGUUCGUAGAGGACUGCUACCUGCCGCACACCGAGAGCGUGCUCGUGGUGCGGGAUAACGACAGCGUCAGGGUGAAGGUGGACUGUCUGUCUCAGGUGAACGGACACAGCAGCCGUCCAGAUACAGCAAGCGAAAACUGCAGGAAGAGACAGAGACCGGCAGGGGAGGACGGGCCAGGAGAAAAUGGAGCGAGCGUAGAAUGGAAGAAAAAAAAGAGGAAAAAAAAACAAGGGAGCGAGGAGAGCCUGGAGAGGGAUGCCAAACAGGCUUCAGGUGAUGAGAAGAAAAAGAAGUCACAAGGAAAGCGCAAAGAGAAGAAGAAAAAAAAGAAGGCAGAGGAAAAUGGCCCUACUGUCACCGCCAAACCAGCUGCCUCUACCAAAAAAAGCCCAGCUAAGGUAGAGCAGCCGGUGAAAAGCACCAAGAAGCCCCCAGCAAAAACACCGAAUGUCUCCUCUUCAGAUUCCAGUAGCAGCAGCAGCGAAGAGGAUGAAGCUCCAAAAAAAACCCCAGCCCAAAAACCUGCACCCAAAACCCCCUCCACCACCACCCCUGCUGCUUCCAAGACACUUCCGGUUGCCAAACCCACCCAGAAAAAACCUCACCCUCCUUCGUCCUCCUCCUCAGCAACCGACUCUUCCUCCGAUGAAGCCACCCGUGUGAAAAGCCCGCCAAAAAGCAAAGCGUUAACCUCCACAACCCCUAAAGGGAGAAUAAGUGAAAACUCAAAAUGUCAGCAGGCUCCUCCCGCCCUGCAGUCCACAAACUGUGCACAGAAACAGGCUGCGAGCGCAACGGCGCCUCCUCGUGGCAAACCGGCGGAGCCUUGUACCUCAAGCAGCGAGGAGGAGAUCGAGCUGGUCAUCCGGCGGCCGAUGCAGCAGCUGGGCAGGGGUAGUAGUCAGUCGUCUUGGAGAGGCCGAGGCCGGGCACAACCCAUUCGUGGUGGCCCUGGAGAGAGGGGAAGGGGCGACGGUAGAGGGGGCGCCAGAGGGCACAAUGGCAGCUUUGAGUUCAGCUAUAAUGGAGCCAUGGAGCCGUCCUACCAGACUGAUUCAAUAACCAACAUGUCAGUGGUCCUCCAGAACGGAGCAGAAAGUGCUCCCAAACAGGACUACAGCUCUAUGCCCCUGCUAGCUGCCCCUCCACAGGUGGGGCAGAAGAUUGCCUUCAAGUUGCUGGAGCUAACUGAGAACUAUACACCAGAGGUAUCAGAAUAUAAGGAGGGAAAGAUUGUGAGCUUUGACCCCACAACCAAACAGAUUGAGCUGGAGGUGCAUAAUGCCUUUCAAGCUCCUGUAGAGCCUGGCAAGUUUGACUUGGUCUAUCAGAACCCGGAUGGCUCCGAGAGAGUGGAGUAUGCCGUGUCCAGAAGCUCUCGGGUGACAGAACGGUGGGAAUCCCUGCUGGAACCACGGCUGAUCAUUUAAAUUUGUUCAAACAGGGACUUUGAACAUGCCCCCUGUUUGACAAGAUGGAUUUCCCUAUUCUCUAUUUUAUUUCAGGAUCCUUUGAAUUGUGCUCCAGCGUUAAACUGUGAGUCUUUAUAUUGCAUAUGACAGCUAAGGGAUAUGAUUAUGAUGGAUUAUAUUCUCCUCUCUGCUUCUAAGUAAGUCAUCUCUUUGCACAGAAGAACCCCUGCAUAGCAGAGUACAUGUGUCAAUAUUGAAAAAUGUUAGAAUUGUUUCAAUUUAAAUUUGGUUAGAUAUGAAAUGCUGUUUUUUAAUAUGAAAGUGAAAUGAAUGAUUCCAGUUUCCAGAACUGGGACAUAAUGGUUUUAUGUUUUGUCAAUUGUAUACCAUGCAUUACUCAUCUACAGUUUACAAGAAAUAAACAUACAUUAGAGUUUUACACUUGCAGGGAAUGAUACAGUAACAUUUAUGGGAUAUUGUUAAAUGUUAGUGUAGAGA